rnacentral:rRNA from 1 species
GAUGAACGCUGGCGGCGUGCCUAAUACAUGCAAGUCGAGCGAACAGACGAUGAGCUUGCUCCUCUGACGUUAGCGGCUGACGGGUGAGUAACACGUGGAUAACCCACCUAUAAUACUGGGAUAACUUCGGGAAACCGCAGCUAAUACCGGAUAAUAUAUUGAACCGCAUGGUUCAAUAGUUAAAGACGGUUUUGCUGUCACUUUUAGAUGGAUCCGCAUCGCAUUAGCUAGUUGGUAAGGUAACGGCUUACCAAGGCAACGAUGCGUAGCCGACCUGAGAGGGUGAUCGGCCACACUGGAACUGAGACACGGUCCAGACUCCUACGGGAGGCAGCAGUAGGGAAUAUUCCGCAAUGGGCGAAAGCCUGACGGAGCAACGCCGCGUGAGUGAUGAAGGUCUUCGGAUCGUAAAACUCUGUUAUUAGGGAAGAACAAAUGUGUAAGUAACUAUGCACGUCUUGACGGUACCUAAUCAGAAAGCCACGGCUAACUACGUG